AUUGAACGCUGGCGGCAUGCCUUACACAUGCAAGUCGAACGGCAGCACGGGAGCUUGCUCCUGGUGGCGAGUGGCGAACGGGUGAGUAAUACAUCGGAACGUACCCUGAAGUGGGGGAUAACGUAGCGAAAGUUACGCUAAUACCGCAUAUUCUGUGAGCAGGAAAGAGGGGGAUCGCAAGACCUCUUGCUUUAGGAGCGGCCGAUGUCGGAUUAGCUAGUUGGUGAGGUAAAGGCUCACCAAGGCGACGAUCCGUAGCGGGUCUGAGAGGAUGAUCCGCCACACUGGGACUGAGACACGGCCCAGACUCCUACGGGAGGCAGCAGUGGGGAAUUUUGGACAAUGGGCGCAAGCCUGAUCCAGCCAUGCCGCGUGAGUGAAGAAGGCCUUCGGUUGUAAGCUCUCUCGGUGGGAGGAAAGUUGCUUCGGUUAAUACCUGGAGUA
rnacentral:rRNA from 1 species